CUACGUGCCAGCAGCCGCGGUAAUACGUAGGGCGCGAGCGUUGUCCGGAAUUAUUGGGCGUAAAGAGCUUGUAGGCGGUUUGUCGCGUCUGCUGUGAAAGGCCGGGGCUUAACUCCGUGUAUUGCAGUGGGUACGGGCAGACUAGAGUGCAGUAGGGGAGACUGGAAUUCCUGGUGUAGCGGUGGAAUGCGCAGAUAUCAGGAGGAACACCGAUGGCGAAGGCAGGUCUCUGGGCUGUAACUGACGCUGAGAAGCGAAAGCAUGGGGAGCGAACAGGAUUAGAUACCCUGGUAGUCCAUGCCGUAAACGUUGGGCACUAGGUGUGGGGGACAUUCCACGUUUUCCGCGCCGUAGCUAACGCAUUAAGUGCCCCGCCUGGGGAGUACGGCCGCAAGGCUAAAACUCAAAGAAAUUGACGGGGGCCCGCACAAGCGGCGGAGCAUGCGGAUUAAUUCGAUGCAACGCGAAGAACCUUACCUGGUCUUGACAU
rnacentral:rRNA from 1 species